UACGGGGGGGGCAAGCGUUGUUCGGAAUUACUGGGCGUAAAGGCUCGUAGGCGGCCAACUAGGUCGGACGUGAAAUCCCCAGGCUCAACCUGGGAACUGCGUCCGAUACUGGAUGGCUUGAAUCCGGGAGAGGGAUGCAGAAUUCCAGGUGUAGCGGUGAAAUGCGUAGAUAUCGAGAGGAACACCUGCGGCGAAGGCGGGUUGCUGGGGCUGAUACUGACGCUGAGGCGCGAAAGCCAGGGGAGCGAACGGG
rnacentral:rRNA from 1 species